UACGUAGGUGGCAAGCGUUGUCCGGAUUUACUGGGCGUAAAGAGCGCGCAGGCGGUCGUUCAAGUCGCGUGUGAAAGCCCCCGGCUCAACUGGGGAGGGUCACGCGAUACUGAUCGACUCGAAGGCAGGAGAGGGUAGUGGAAUUCCAGGUGUAGCGGUGAAAUGCGUAGAUAUCUGGAGGAACACCGGUGGCGAAGGCGGCGUUCUGGACUGUCUCUGACACUGAAGAACGAAAGCCAGGGGAGCAAACGGG
rnacentral:rRNA from 1 species